rnacentral:rRNA from 1 species
GAUGAACGCUGGCGGCGUGCCUAAUACAUGCAAGUCGAGCGAACGGACGAGAAGCUUGCUUUUCUGAUGUUAGCGGCGGACGGGUGAGUAACACGUGGAUAACCUACCUAUAAGACUGGGAUAACUUCGGGAAACCGGAGCUAAUACCGGAUAAUAUUUUGAACCGCAUGGUUCAAAAGUGAAAGACGGUCUUGCUGUCACUUAUAGAUGGAUCCGCGCUGCAUUAGCUAGUUGGUAAGGUAACGGCUUACCAAGGCAACGAUGCAUAGCCGACCUGAGAGGGUGAUCGGCCACACUGGAACUGAGACACGGUCCAGACUCCUACGGGAGGCAGCAGUAGGGAAUCUUCCGCAAUGGGCGAAAGCCUGACGGAGCAACGCCGCGUGAGUGAUGAAGGUCUUCGGAUCGUAAAACUCUGUUAUUAGGGAAGAACAUAUGUGUAAGUAACUGUGCACAUCUUGACGGUACCUAAUCAGAAAGCCAUGGCUAACUACGUG